rnacentral:tRNA from 2 species
GCCCUUGUAGUCUAGUGGUCAAGGAUAUCGCCCUUUCGCGGCGAAGACCCGGGUUCGACUCCCGGCAGGGGCA